rnacentral:rRNA from 1 species
GACGAACGCUGGCGGCGUGCUUAACACAUGCAAGUCGAACGCUGAACCCGCUUCGGGGGGGGCUGAGUGGCGAACGGGUGGGUAACACGUGGUCAACCUGCCCCCGGCUCUGGGAUAACUCUAAGAAAUUGGGGCUAAUACCUGGUGUGACCGCUUUCCGCAUUGUCUGGUGGUGGGAAGGGUUUCCGGCUGGUGAUGGGCUCGCGGCCUAUCAGCUUGUUGGUGGGGUAGUGGCCUACCAAGGCGACGACCGGUAGCCGGCCUGAGAGGGUGACCGGCCACGCUGCGACGGAGACAAGACACAGCCUACACUGGGAGGCAGGAGUGGGGAAUAUUGCGCAAUGGGCGGAAGCAUAACGCAGCGAAGCAGCGCGGGGGAAGACGGCAAUGGGGUAGUAAACUAAUUUCAGCGGGGACGAAGCGAAAGUGACGGUACCGGGAGAAGAAGCACCGGCCAACUACGUG